GGCAGCGCUGGGGCCCGGGCCGGGCCCAGCGGUCGCGGAGCCCGCGGGCCUCAGGCCGAGCCCCGGGGCGGCGGCGCGGGGCGGCGGCGGCCGCAGCGCUGCACGGGCGGCCGCGCGGGAGAUGCCGAAGCUGCGCGGGGAGGCCUUCUGGAGGGAGACGCUGCGGAGCGCCCAUUACGUGGUGGCGCCCAUGGUGGACCAGAGCGAGCUGGCCUGGAGGCUGCUGAGCCGCCGCCACGGCGCCCAGCUCUGCUACACGCCGAUGCUGCACGCCCAGGUCUUCCUCAGAGACGCCAACUACCGCCGCGAGAACCUCUACGGCGAGGCCUGUCCCGAGGAUCGCCCGCUCAUCGUGCAGUUCUGUGCCAAUGAUCCUGAAGUGUUUGUCCAGGCAGCGCUGUUGGCUCAGGAUUACUGUGAUGCCAUAGACCUAAAUUUGGGUUGCCCCCAAAUGAUUGCAAAGAGAGGUCACUACGGAGCAUUUCUGCAAGAGGAGUGGGAUCUUCUUCAGAGAAUGAUUUUACUGGCUAACGAGAAGCUCUCUGUUCCCAUCACAUGCAAAAUCCGCGUUUUCCCAGACAUUGACAAGACAGUGAAGUAUGCACAGAUGCUGGAGAAAGCUGGCUGCCAGCUGCUGACUGUGCAUGGCCGUACCAAGGAACAGAAAGGACCACUUGCUGGUGUGGCAUCUUGGGAGCACAUUCAAGCUGUCAGAAAAGCUGUAAACAUUCCUGUAUUCGCAAAUGGAAACAUCCAGUGUCUCAGUGACGUGGAAGAAUGUAUCCGUAAGACAGGAGUACACGGCGUCAUGAGUGCAGAAGGUAAUCUUCAUAAUCCAGCCUUGUUUGAAGGCCGAAACCCCUUGGUGUGGGAGAUGGCUGAGGAGUAUCUGGAGAUAGUGCAGAAGUACCCUUGUCCAUUGUCUUAUGUUAGGGCUCAUCUCUUCAAGCUCUGGCAUCACACGCUUCAAGUUUACCAGCAGCUACGUGAAGAAUUAGCAAAAGUGAAGACACUAGAGGGGAUUGUAGAUGUCAACAGGGAGCUGAAACUGCGAUGCCAGGAAGAAAUAGCUAAUCAGAAAGAAGGAGAAAAGCCAAAAGAAGGGUUGCCUUUUUUCCACUGGAUUUGUCAGCCAUACAUCAGGCCAGGGCCAAAGGAGAGAUGCAAGGAGAACGGAGCCAGUGGAACUGAAAAAGGUGUACGAGGGAAACGUACUCUGGAAGAGGAGGAAGAUGGAAAUUCUGAGCUUCUGUCAAAGAAUAAACAAAAAAAGAAGUUAAGAAAUCCAAAUAAAAGCUUUGAUCCAUCUUUAAAACCUCUCUCUCAUCUUUCCAGCCAAAUAUGCAAAAUGUGAUCAAUGUGGAAACCCUAAGGGCAAUAAAUGUGUGUUUAACAUGUGCCGAGGAUGCUGUAAGAAAAGAGCAUUCAAGGAGACAGCAGACUGUCCAGGUCAUGGAUUACUUUUUAAGACCAAGUAUGAAAAAUCCCUUUCAUGGCAGCACAGUCAAAGAGGAAUUCAAAGCCCAGAGAUGAGUCAGAGAGGAGAUGCAGAGGUGGGGGAGGCUGUGGUGCUGAAAGAGGCUGGUGACAGUGCAGUGUGAAGCUUUGGAAAUGAACAGUCCAAGAGCUCCUGCCAGGCUGCUGCUUCCCUGGGCCAAAGAACCAUCAGCUGUGUGAACUUGUUCCACAUGAUUCAGUUCUGGAAAAGUUUUAUUUAAGUAAAAAACUGCUUACUCAGGGAAUUAUCCUGCAUUUGAAAUAAAAAGGAUGCAAUUAAA